CAAAGUAGGAGCGGAAUGAGGACAAUUCUUUGAUUUCAAUGACCAGGAUGUUAUUAUUGAAACAGGAUCCAAAGGUCACUUGAUCUUAACUUUUCAGUGAUACGGGAUAUCUUAAACACUCAAUCACUUCAUAUUCAAUUCUACUUUGUGAAGUGGCGUGUCUUCCGGAGAUGUUUCUCCCAGUGUCCAUUGUAGCGUCUUUAGUAAUCCUGAUUCUUUCUUCUGAUAGCCCAGCUACGGUAACAGAAAAGAGCGAUUUUGGCUGGAUAGCUCUCAAUUCUAGUGGCUACCAUCUGCACCUUGAACCAAUGAACUGGUCAGAUGCUCAGACACACUGUCACGAAAAAGGAGCCAGUCUUCUGUCUUUGACGUCUAAGGCAGAAAUGUCAAAAGUACUGACGGACCUUGAACUUUACACCAAUCAAAAAACUUGGUGGCUAGGAGUGCGAAGAAAUUCAUCGGUCAGCAGCUCAUGGGUGUCCCCAAAUGAAACCUCACCUUUCUCUGGCCUAAUGACACUGUGGAACAAAGAUCAACCAAAAAACUGGAAAGAUGAUGAGGGCUGUGCGAUGAUGCUCCCUAGCGGCCUUCUGAAUGAAUUAUCGUGUGUGAAGCGUCUCGCCUACAUUUGUAAAAGACAUCUUAGGACAGCACAAAUUACAAGCAGAAUGGAAUGUGGUCAUGGGUGGAUCUUUAUUUCUCCUUCUUGCUACAAGUUUUCCACUAUUGCGUCUUCGUGGUCCAAAGCACAAAAUGGAUGUCGAGAAAACGAAGGCAAUCUGCUGACUGUAAACUCUUUAGAAGAACUGCUGCAGAUAAAGAAGGCGAUGUAUCGUGCAAACAAGGAAGCUAACUGGUGGAUAGGUUUAUGGAAGACCUCGUCAUCAAACAGUUCGUGGACAUGGCUUGAAGGACCACCACAUCUUGCGUCUCUAGUCAUACAGUGGAAAAAGCACGAGCCCAACAACGCGCUGGGUCAGGAAGACUGUGUGAUGAUGGACUCCAACGGCCUUCUGAGUGAUGUAUCUUGUGACUCCUCUCAUCACUAUAUAUGUUCAAGGUCCGCAGACGAAAUCAAAGAUUGUGGCGGUGGAUGGACCUUGAUCCACCAAGCUUGCUACAGAAUUUCCGCAAAGACCGCGGCGUGGCUCGACGCCCACAACGAAUGUCAGGCAGACGGAGGAAGCCUGCUUACUGUGAAAACUCUUUACGAACUAGGGAAAAUACUACUGGAAGCAAAAGGGUGAGCAGUCGGUGGUUGGUAGGGAGGAUUUCUACAGUCAGAAGCACUUGGGAGUGGGUUGAUUCAACGACAGUCUUCUCAAGCCUAGCUAUACCGUGGGAGGAAAACGAGCUCAGUCCUGACAGUGACAGAGACUGUGCAGAGAUGGACUACAGCGGUCUACUGAAUGAUGCUCCAUGUCACUCUUUGCUCCCCUACAUCUGCGAGAAACCGUUAA
rnacentral:misc_RNA from 1 species